AGUGAACGCUGGCGGUGGGCCUAACACAUGCAAGUCGAACGGCAGCACAGUAAGAGCUUGCUCUUACGGGUGGCGAGUGGCGGACGGGUGAGGAAUACAUCGGAAUCUACUUUUUCGUGGGGGAUAACGUAGGGAAACUUACGCUAAUACCGCAUACGACCUACGGGUGAAAGCAGGGGAUCUUCGGACCUUGCGCGAUUGAAUGAGCCGAUGUCGGAUUCGCUAGUUGGCGGGGUAAAGGCCCACCAAGGCGACGAUCCGUAGCUGGUCUGAGAGGAUGAUCAGCCACACUGGAACUGAGACACGGUCCAGACUCCUACGGGAGGCAGCAGUGGGGAAUAUUGGACAAUGGGCGCAAGCCUGAUCCAGCCAUACCGCGUGGGUGAAGAAGGCCUUCGGGUUGUAAAGCCCUUUUGUUGGGAAAGAAAAGCAGCAGGUUAAUACCCCGCUGUUCUGACGGUACCCAAAGAAUAAGCACCGGCUAACUUCGUG
rnacentral:rRNA from 1 species